rnacentral:rRNA from 1 species
AGACCCGAAACCCGGUGAUCUAGCCAUGGGCAGGUUGAAGGUUGGGUAACACUAACUGGAGGACCGAACCGACUAAUGUUGAAAAAUUAGCGGAUGACCUGUGGCUGGGGGUGAAAGGCCAAUCAAACCGGGAGAUAGCUGGUUCUCCCCGAAAGCUAUUUAGGUAGCGCCUCGUGAAUUCAUCUCCGGGGGUAGAGCACUGUUUCGGCCAGGGGGCCAUCCCGGCUUACCAAUCCGAUGCAAACUGCGAAUACCGGAGAAUGUUAUCACGGGAGACACACGGCGGGUGCUAACGUCCGUCGUGAAGAGGGAAACAACCCAGACCGCCAGCUAAGGUCCCAAAGUCAUGGUUAAGUGGGAAACGAUGUGGGAAGGCCCAGACAGCCAGGAUGUUGGCUUAGAAGCAGCCAUCAUUUAAAGAAAGCGUAAUAGCUCACUGGUCGAGUCGGCCUGCGCGGAAGAUGUAACGGGGCUAAACCAUGCACCGAAGCUGCGGCAGCGACACUGAUGUGUUGUUGGGUAGGGGAGCGUUCUGUAAGCCGUUGAAGGUGUGUCGUGAGGCAUGCUGGAGGUAUCAGAAGUGCGAAUGCUGACAUAAGUAACGAUAAAGCGGGUGAAAAGCCCGCUCGCCGGAAGACCAAGGGUUCCUGUCCAACGUUAAUCGGGGCAGGGUGAGUCGACCCCUAAGGCGAGGCCGAAAGGCGUAGUCGAUGGGAAACGGGUUAAUAUUCCCGUACUUGGUGUUACUGCGAAGGGGGGACGGAGAAGGCUAUGUUGGCCGGGCGACGGUUGUCCCGGUUUAAGCGUGUAGGUGUGUGUUCCAGGUAAAUCCGGUUCACUUUAACACUGAGGCGUGAUGACGAGGCACCACGGUGCUGAAGCAACAAAUGCCCUGCUUCCAGGAAAAGCCUCUAAGCCUCAGGUAACAUCAAAUCGUACCCCAAACCGACACAGGUGGUCAGGUAGAGAAUACCAAGGCGCUUGAGAGAACUCGGGUGAAGGAACUAGGCAAAAUGGUGCCGUAACUUCGGGAGAAGGCACGCUGACACGUAGGUGAAGUGGUUUACCCAUGGAGCUGAAGUCAGUCGAAGAUACCAGCUGGCUGCAACUGUUUAUUAAAAACACAGCACUGUGCAAACACGAAAGUGGACGUAUACGGUGUGACGCCUGCCCGGUGCCGGAAGGUUAAUUGAUGGGGUCAGCGCAAGCGAAGCUCCUGAUCGAAGCCCCGGUAAACGGCGGCCGUAACUAUAACGGUCCUAAGGUAGCGAAAUUCCUUGUCGGGUAAGUUCCGACCUGCACGAAUGGCGUAAUGAUGGCCAGGCUGUCUCCACCCGGGACUCAGUGAAAUUGAACUCGCUGUGAAGAUGCAGUGUACCCGCGGCAAGACGGAAAGACCCCGUGAACCUUUACUAUAGCUUGACACUGAACACUGGUCCUUGAUGUGCAGGAUAGGUGGGAGGCUUUGAAGUGUGGACGCCAGUCUGCAUGGAGCCAUCCUUGAAAUACCACCCUUUAAUGGCUGGUGUUCUAACGUGGGCCCGUGAACCGGGUUGCGGACAGUGUCUGGUGGGUAGUUUGACUGGGGCGGUCUCCUCCUAAAGAGUAACGGAGGAGCACGAAGGUUGGCUAAUCCUGGUCGGACAUCAGGAGGUUAGUGCAAUGGCAUAAGCCAGCUUGACUGCGAGCGUGACGGCGCGAGCAGGUGCGAAAGCAGGUCAUAGUGAUCCGGUGGUUCUGAAUGGAAGGGCCAUCGCUCAACGGAUAAAAGGUACUCCGGGGAUAACAGGCUGAUACCGCCCAAGAGUUCAUAUCGACGGCGGUGUUUGGCACCUCGAUGUCGGCUCAUCACAUCCUGGGGCUGAAGUAGGUCCCAAGGGUAUGGCUGUUCGCCAUUUAAAGUGGUACGCGAGCUGGGUUUAGAACGUCGUGAGACAGUUCGGUCCCUAUCUGCCGUGGGCGCUGGAAGAUUGAGGGGGGCUGCUCCUAGUACGAGAGGACCGGAGUGGACGCAUCACUGGUGUUCGGGUUGUCAUGCCAAUGGCACUGCCCGGUAGCUACAUGCGGAAGAGAUAAGUGCUGAAAGCAUCUAAGCACGAAACUUGCCCCGAGAUGAAUCUUCCCUGAGCCUUUAAGGCUCCUGAAGGAACGUUGAAGACGACGACGUUGAUAGGCCGGGUGUGUAAGCGCAGCGAUGCGUUGAGCUAACCGGUACUAAUGAACCGUGAGGCUUAACCUUACAAC